GACGAACGCUGGCGGCGUGCUUAACACAUGCAAGUCGAACGAUGAAGCUGGAGCUUGCUCCGGUGGAUUAGUGGCGAACGGGUGAGUAACACGUGAGCAAUCUGCCCUUGACUCUGGGAUAACUGCGGGAAACUGUAGCUAAUACCGGAUACGAGAUUUGGAGGCAUCUCCGGUUCUGGAAAGAAUUUCGGUCAAGGAUGAGCUCGCGGCCUAUCAGCUUGUUGGUGAGGUAAUGGCUCACCAAGGCGACGACGGGUAGCCGGCCUGAGAGGGUGACCGGACACACUGGGACUGAGACACGGCACAGACUCCUACGGGAGGCAGCAGUGGGGAAUAUUGCACAAUGGGCGAAAGCCUGAUGCAGCAACGCCGCGUGAGGGAUGAAGGCCUUCGGGUUGUAAACCUCUUUUAGUAGGGAAGAAGCGAAAGUGACGGUACCUACAGAAAAAGCACCGGCUAACUACGUGCCAGCAGCCGCGGUAA
rnacentral:rRNA from 1 species